UAUUCAUUAGAUAACAGACCAAUAUUCCUCGUGUCUAUUGUGGUGACUCAUAGUAACUGAUCGGAUCGCAUGGCCUUGUGCCGCGACUAACCAUUCAAGUUUCUGACCCAUCAGCUUUCGAUGGUAGUGUAUUGGACUACCAUGGCUUUCACGGGUAACGGAGGAUUAGGGUUCGAUUCCGGAGAGGGAGCCUGAGAAACGGCUACCACAUCUAAGGAAGGCAGCAGGCGCGUAAAUUACCCAAUCCUGACUCAGGGAGGUAGUGAUAAGAAAUAACGGGUCGGGGCAUUCGCCUCGGGAUUGCAAUGAAUCGAAUUUACACCCCUUAAUGAGGAUCAAUUGGAGGGCAAGUCUGGUGCCAGCAGCCGCGGUAAUUCCAGCUCCAAUAGCGUAUAUUAAAGUUGUUGCAGUUAAAAAGCUCGUAGUUUGAUUUCUGGACGGGCGCCAACACCCGCUUGUUUAGUGUGGAGGCGGCGCCCGCCCAUCCUUCUGUUAACGCCACCGGCAUUCAUUUGCUGGCGGCGGGCUCAGAUAUUUUACCUUGAGAAAAUUAGAGUGUUUCAGGCAGGCUUGCGC
rnacentral:rRNA from 1 species